rnacentral:lncRNA from 1 species
GGUGAACGAAGAACAAAAUCGCCCAUUCCUUCUCCUCUCUUUAUCUCUCUCGAAACCACCGUUUUUCUUCCGCUUUGAUCGUUUCCAGCACCUCCAUUCUCUCUGUCCCUUUCAAAGUUUUGGAUUCUUUUCCUCAAUUUUCACCGAACGUGUUUCUCAGAAAAACACAGCAAAAGUUUCAAGGUUAGUUUUUUUCCCCUUCACUGUAAAAUCUAGGAAUCUAGGGUUCUUCUCUUCGUGUAUUUUGUUUUCCACGUGUCUUCGUUUGUUAAUUCGAACGCGUGUUAGGUUACAUUUCAAAUUUUAUUCAUCAAUUUAGGAAAUUAGGGUUUAUAUUUUUCUAUAAUAUUGUUGAAUUGUUUUACGCCUCCAGUUUAGUAUUUGAUUAUAAUUUGUUUUGUUGUUUCAUACAUCCUUGUUUGAUUAAGGAUGUCAGGGAUUAUUGUUGGAUUGUUAGUAGUGUUUCUGUUGUAUCUGCAAAAAUUAUGUGUCUGAAAUCCUUGGAAAGGAUCAGUUUUGAGAGUUUUCAGAGUUGUUUAUUUGAUUGCACAUCAUUCCUGAUAAGACAAAACACUUUGACUAUUUGUUGACAGAUAUAUUUUCAGCAUAGAACUUAAAUUUUGUUGUAUUGUAAUGUAGGAUUUUUAAUUUAACCAUUUAUAAUGUUUGUUGUGGGUUUCUUAUGUUGAUUGAUUCUUGCAGAUUUGGUUAACAACUUGGGUAUAAUUGCAUGCAGCCGAACCGUUGUCUUCAUGUAGUUUUCAUUGCAAACAGUGAUCUAGGUCAUGAGAGGUUCAAGUUCAAGC